CCUACGGGAGGCAGCAGUGAGGAAUAUUGGUCAAUGGGCGGGAGCCUGAACCAGCCAAGUCGCGUGAGGGAAGACGGUCCUAUGGAUUGUAAACCUCUUUAGGCGGGGAGCAAUGCCGGGCACGUGUGCCCGGAGGGAGAGUACCCGCAGAAUAAGCAUCGGCUAACUCCGUGCCAGCAGGCGCGGUAAUACGGAGGAUGCGAGCGUUAUCCGGAUGUAUUGGGUUUAAAGGGUGCGUAGGCGGAUUUUUAAGUCAGCGGUAAAAUGUCCGGGCUCAAGCCGGGCCGGCCGUUGAAACUGGGGAUCUUGAGUGGGCGAGAAGUAUGCGGAAUGCGUGGUGUAGCGGUGAAAUGCAUAGAUAUCACGCAGAACUCCGAUUGCGAAGGCAGCAUACCGGCGCCCGACUGACGCUGAGGCACGAAAGCGUGGGGAUCGAACAGGAUUAGAUACCCCAGUAGUC
rnacentral:rRNA from 1 species